AUGUCUUGGAGGUUGCUCCUCGGUGGAGAUUGCUUCAGCAGUUCUCAGCAGACUGAAGGCUUCCAUACAGUGGCUAAAGCCUUCAGAUGUGUAGUGGAAUGGGCCUGGAGCCACCCUACUUCUGUGCAGUCUGCAUCUUCAUGGCUUCUCUUCUUCCACCUUCCCUUUCUCCUGCAGCAGGACUGUAUGAAUGUGGGAGGGUCACACUCCUCAGCUCAUCCCUUUCUCCAAGCUGCUACCGGGAGAGCAAUUCCUUCUUUGCAAUCUGAAAACUAUGGCAUUGGAUAUUACGUUUGUCAAACUAAUUGAAGAUAGACCUUGUGCUGUCCCAAGCCACUACAGCACACUGAAGUCAAUAGCAUUGUACUAACUGUGACAGUAAGCACACCUUGAAGAAAAGGAUUAUUUUCAUGCUACAUCUUGCCUUGUCUGACCUACAUGAAUUAAGCCGCUAAAAUUGUUGUGUGAACAAGUAAAUAGUAAAAGGCCAAGAAAUAUGAGCUAGGAUGUGAAAAGUGUUUCUGCUUCCUUGUGAUGACAAUUUGAAGACUUAACCUUAGCUACAAUUUCCACAGAACUUCAGGGGAUGUCUAGAGAGCUUUUUUAGCAAAGAACUGGGAAUGAUUUUUUUUUUUUUUUUAAUGUGGAAGAGUCUUAAUAUAAACAUGAGUCAUGUCCAAGGCCCGCAGUUCACACUUUGCCAGUUCAAAAUGCAACUCUUUCCAGGAAUGGCUUUCAUCCAGGUUGGCAUGUGAAAGAAAAGUUUUGCUCAGCUUCAACAGUGUAGAGGCACUGAGGCUUUCAAUUGCUACAGUCUUGAAAUGUAAUUUCCCUUCUGUUGCAGAAAUCCUAAGUCACAGCUUGAAUUAGUGACUGAUUACUUCUUAGGAAGGCAGGGCCAGCUAAUGGGAGCUCUGUUGCACCUGAGUGACCAGAAGGGGUGGAACCAGGAUCAGCUUUUUGCAGGCUUUCAGGGUUGUGGUAGUAAGGGCAUCUCAUCUGAAGAUCUCUGCUUAGCUAAGGACCUUACAGGCUUUCCAAAGGCAAGCAGUUUUUUUUAUCUUAUUUCUGUGCUUCACUGGUAUCACAUCUAAACAGAUCCUACCUUGCUGUAGCCUAAGACCUUCCAGCUCUGUCAUCUUGUUACUCUUCCUUAUUGCAUUACACUUACAAAUACUUGUGCUGGUUAUUAUUUUUCUGAUUACAACUGAAAUAAAACACUCAUGUUUCAGAAGGCA
rnacentral:lncRNA from 1 species